GUAAGUAGAUUGAGAGGCUAUAGCUUCUUGAUGUUUGGCUGGCUGGUUUUGUCUGUACUAGUAGUGGAUUUCUAUCACAUAUGUACCUCUUGUCUUCCACUAGGUUUACUUAUCCAAGGUUAAAAGGAAGAAGACGUUGCUAGGAUUGGCAUAGUUCCACAUUUCAUGCUUUAUCUUGGUUGUUUGGUGUUGCCUACACUUUCCAAAGGAAAUUGACAGAUGACUGAAGUUUAAUGACCUGAAAGAAAUAAUACAAGAUGGGUGCUUCAUUUGGAAAGGUUUACUUAUCCAAGGUUAAAAGGAAGAAGACGUUGCUAGGAUUGGCAUAGUUCCACAUUUCAUGCUUUAUCUUGGUUGUUUGGUGUUGCCUACACUUUCCAAAGGAAAUUGACAGAUGACUGAAGUUUAAUGACCUGAAAGAAAUAAUACAAGAUGGGUGCUUCAUUUGGAAAGGUUUACUUAUCCAAGGUUAAAAGGAAGAAGAAGUUGAUAGGAUUGGCAUAGUUCCACAUUUCAUGCUUUAUCUUGGUUGUUUGGUGUUGCCUACACUUUCCAAAGGAAAUUGACAGAUGAGAUGACUGAAGUUUAAUGACCUGAAAGAAAUAAUACAAGAUGGGUGCUUCAUGUGGAAAGGUUUACUUAUCCAAGGUUAAAAGGAAGAAGAC